rnacentral:miRNA from 1 species
AGAGUUGUAUGGAACGAAAGAU